GGCCCUGUCGUCUAGUGGACCAGGACGUCAGCUUUUCAUGCUGAAUACCGGAGUUCGAUUCUCCGUGGGGCUA
rnacentral:tRNA from 1 species